rnacentral:rRNA from 1 species
AUUGAACGCUAGCGGCAUGCCUUACACAUGCAAGUCGAACGGAGUGGCGAACGGGUGAGUAAUGUAUCGGAACGUGCCCAGUCGCGGGGGAUAACUACGCGAAAGCGUAGCUAAUACCGCAUACUAUUGGAGCGGCCGAUAUCGGAUUAGCUAGUUGGUGGGGUAACGGCUCACCAAGGCUACGAGCCGUAGCUGGUUUGAGAGGACUACCAGCCACACUGGGACUGAGAGAGGGCCCAGACCCCUAGGGAGGGCAGCAGUGGGGAAUUUUGGACAAUGGGGGAAACCCUGAUCCAGCCAUCCGGCGUGUGCGAUGAAGGCCUUCGGGUUGUAAAGCACUUUUGGCAGGAAAGCGGUACCUGCAGAAUAAGCACCGGCUAACUACGUGCCAGCAGCCGCGGUAAUA